rnacentral:lncRNA from 1 species
AAACAUUGUUUGAAGACCAAAAUUAAAUAUAGCAUAAAUUAAAGAUAUCGAAAAUAAAAAUAGUUUAAUAAUAUAUUAAAAGAUUAAAAUAGUUUUAAAUGAAACAUAUCAAAAAAAACAUAUCAAAAAUUAAAUAUAACCAAAAUGUUCUUGUUUAAAGUAAAAAGAUCAAAUCCGAAUUGUAAAUGUAGUUUAACAUGUAUAUAUUGUCUUUCCC